GGAAAGGGAAACGAUUGAAGUCAGUCGUACUUACGGACAAUCAGCCUUUCGGGUGCGAUUAUGUGGAGCGUGAGGAGCUAAACACCUUCAUGUCUGCGUAUUUGUAUUCUGGGGUGUACUUGCCCGUGUGGUAGGUUAACAUCAAUUUCGGAUGUCAUAAAAUGGCUGGAGGAAUGUAGCUUCGGUCUCGUACUGAAGCGUUAUAGCCUUUGGCAGAUGUGAUGACCGGGAUUGAGGAUUGCAACGAAUACCUUUUGGGCUACCCGCCUGAUCUCUGAAAGUUGCUCUGGUGCCGAAAGCUUGCUUAUGGUUAUCAAAGUUGGCGUUCAAAAGGUUAGAACGGGUUAAAUUCGUUAAGGAUGUUGACGUAAAGGGC
rnacentral:rRNA from 1 species